UGAUUAAAGAUAGAUCUACACAAACUACGACAACCUUUGCACUGUAAGGGGUAAACCUUACAGCAGGACAACCUUGCAGUUCGUGAUUGAUCUAAAAUUUUAAUUUCAAAUUUAAUAAUUAGAUUAUAAAUUAGAUCUAAUCUAAGAAAUAAUCUAAGCAUGUAUAAAUAAUCAUGUAAUAAAGAACCUAGGCUCUGAUACCAAUUGUAGGAACCAGAUCUAGGGUUUCAGCGUUAGAUCUUGAAACUUUUUCAAGAUCAUACAGUGGAAGACUAAAAUAAAUUUAUAUUAUUUUUUAAAAUUAGAGAAUUCCUAGAUCUAAGAUCCUAUUACAUGAUUAUUACAUAGCAUUAAAUCAAAAAUUAAAAUAUAUAAAUAUAGCAUGAACUACAUGUUGAUCAUAUCAACAUGUUUCUAUACUACAUC
rnacentral:lncRNA from 1 species